GAUAUGGCUCAGGAUGAACGCUAGCUACAGGCUUAACACAUGCAAGUCGAGGGGCAGCAUGAAGUCAGCUUGCUGACUUGAUGGCGACCGGCGCACGGAUGAGUAACGCGUAUCCAACCUUCCCCUUAGUAGAGGAUAGCCCGGCGAAAGUCGGAUUAAUACUCUAUGUUGUAUUUUGAGGACAUCUGAGGAAUACCAAAGACUUGUCGCUAAGGGAUGGGGAUGCGUCUGAUUAGGUUGUUGGCGGGGUAACGGCCCACCAAGCCGACGAUCAGUAGGGGUUCUGAGAGGAAGGUCCCCCACAUUGGUACUGAGACACGGACCAAACUCCUACGGGAGGCAGCAGUGAGGAAUAUUGGUCAAUGGGCGCGAGCCUGAACCAGCCAAAGUAGCGUGCAGGACGACUGCCCUAUGGGUUGUAAACUGCUUUUACAGGGGAAUAAAGUGCGGGACGCGUCCCGUUUUGUAUGUACCCUGCGAAUAAGGACCGGCUAAUUCCGUGCCAGCCGCCGC
rnacentral:rRNA from 1 species